rnacentral:rRNA from 1 species
AGCGAACGCUGGCGGCAUGCUUAACACAUGCAAGUCGCACGGGCAGCAAUGUCAGUGGCGGACGGGUGAGUAACGCGUAGGAACGUGUCCUGAGGUGGGGGACAACCCCGGGAAACUGGGGCUAAUACCGCAUAUGGGCUGAGGCCCAAAGCCGAGAGGCGCCUUUGGAGCGGCCUGCGUCCGAUUAGGUAGUUGGUGGGGUAAAGGCCUACCAAGCCUGCGAUCGGUAGCUGGUCUGAGAGGACGACCAGCCACACUGGGACUGAGACACGGCCCAGACUCCGACGGGAGGCAGCAGUGGGGAAUAUUGGACAAUGGGCGAAAGCCUGAUCCAGCAAUGCCGCGUGGGUGAAGAAGGUCUUCGGAUCGUAAAGCCCUUUCGACGGGGACGAUGAUGACGGUACCCGUAGAAGAAGCCCCGGCUAACUUCGU